rnacentral:rRNA from 1 species
UACGAAGGGUGCAAGCGUUAAUCGGAAUUACUGGGCGUAAAGGGUGCGUAGGCGGUUAUUUAAGUCUGCCGUGAAAUCCCCGGGCUUAACCUGGGAACUGCGUUUGAAACUACAAGGCUAGAGUGUGACAGAGGGGGGUGGAAUUCCACGUGUAGCAGUGAAAUGCGUAGAGAUGUGGAGGAACACCGAUGGCGAAGGCAGCCCCCUGGGUUAACACUGACGCUCAGGCACGAAAGCGUGGGGAGCAAACAGG